GCUUAGAGAACAGGAAGUGGGAGCCACAUACCCCGAGCUGGAGUCUUGAUCCUGUGGCAUCUAGGCUCGCCUCACUGCAGUUGGUGGAGGUGACGGAGGUUGCAGCUUGGCCAGCAUGGUAGAAAGGUGGCAGGGUAGACUCUAGAUUCUAGAGGGCAACCUCUGUUUGCUCGUGCUGGAGCGCGGCAUGCGCACAAUGUUUCCUUGGGAAUCCUCAGCAGGGCACGUCUGGCUUUUACCACCCAGUUGCUUCGAGCCAGGAGCUGGAGGAGUCAUCUGUUGCACGCUGGAGGCUGGAGCCUGCAGAUGGCAUGGUUCUGUGGCUCACCUCGCUGCAGUUGGUGGCAGAGACAGAGACUGCAGCUUGACCAGAGUGGUGGAGUGAGUAUUGUCAUCUGCAUGAGCAAAUCUGGUUCAUCACAUCUUUGCAACAGGAAAAGGAAGGGAGGAUCAUGUGUAUAAUGUUUUAAGGCCAAGAUUCACAACCAAAACAAAGUCUUUAUUAACUUUUGCCUUCAAGAACCUGCAGUGUUGAGCCCUUUUUUAUUUCUGGUAUUACU
rnacentral:lncRNA from 1 species